AUUUAAGUAAUUUGGGAUAAAUUAUUUUUUUGUGAUUCGGUUAAAGUGAAAAGUAGUGUAAUAGAAUUGUGUGGGCUUUCAGCACUAUAUUAGUUAUUUUAUACAUUGGUCUUGCAUGAAAUUGGAAGAGUUCCUGAGAGGAAAGAAGUUGGUGGAAGAGGUUUUUAAAAUAUUUUCUUUUGGCUGGCUGUCCACCUGUUAGUUUAUGAUUUAAUAUUUUGUGAAAUUUUGUAAUUGUUACUUUGAUGGGUAAUUGGUGUUUCUCAACAUCAGCAGUUAAAAUUUUUUCUAUUAUAGAGAUAUAGAGUAAGUGAUUGUUUUUAGAAGGGAUUAAUAUUGUGCCAGCAUUCGCGGUUAAACAAUGUCUUCAAGCUAAUAUGUUCGUAGAGCAGUAAAGUUAGGAAUAAGUAUUAAAGUUAUAUUGAUAAAUUUAGCGGUGAAAUGUGUUAAAAUUUUGGUUGACAGUAGUAAAUUUUAUGUUUAUUAGUUGUUCAUUUUUUUGUGUUUAGAGUCUUUAAAAAUUUAAGCUGAGGAAGCUGUUAUUAAAAACAAGGAUUAGAUACCCUUUUAUUUAAGCUGAAGCUGAAAUCUACGGGUAUAACGGACGUAAUAAUAGGUCUGAUAACUUAUGAAAGCUGGCGGCAUUUAUUUAUUCUUUUAGGGGAGCUUGGCGUUUAAAUAGACGGUACCCUAGUAUUUUACCUUUAAUUUUCUUUUCAUAUCGCCGUUGUCAGUGGGUUUUGGAAAAUUUACUUGCGUGUAACAAAAAUUUAAGUUUGGUUUAGUUGUUUUGUUCGAAUUCAGGUAAACAUGAAGGUGUUUUAAAGGGAUUAGCUGAGCUACAUUUAUUAAAUAUGGCGGAUGAUCAAGUUUGUUGAUUUAUUUAACUUCCUUACGUUAGUUAAAAUUUUUGAUAAAUUUUUGGAAUAGUUUUCUUAAGGUGGACUUAAUAGUAAGAUUUUUUGUAGAUAGGGAAUUUGAAUUGAAUGUAAAAAUGUGUACAAAUCGCCCGUCGUCCUUUAGUUCAUAGAGGUAAGUCGUAACAUAGUAAUACUAGCAGAAGCUGGUGUUGAUUA
rnacentral:ncRNA from 1 species